UAACACGUGAGCAACCUGCCUUUCAGAGGGGGAUAACAGUUGGAAACGACUGCUAAUACCGCAUAACGCUGCGAUGGGGCAUCCCGAUGCAGCCAAAGGAGCAAUCCGCUGGAAGAUGGGCUCGCGGCCGAUUAGCUAGUUGGUGGGGCAACGGCCCACCAAGGCGACGAUCGGUAGCCGGACUGAGAGGUUGAUCGGCCACAUUGGGACUGAGACACGGCCCAGACUCCUACGGAAGGCAGCAG
rnacentral:rRNA from 1 species